rnacentral:rRNA from 1 species
ACGGUUGGAAACGACCGCUAAUACCGCAUACGCCCUUCGGGGGAAAGAUUUAUCGCUAAGAGAUGGACCCGCGUUGGAUUAGAUAGUUGGUGAGGUAACGGCUCACCAAGUCAGCGAUCCAUAGCUGGUUUGAGAGGAUGAUCAGCCACACUGGGACUGAGACACGGCCCAGACUCCUACGGGAGGCAGCAGUGGGGAAUAUUGGACAAUGGGCGGAAGCCUGAUCCAGCCAUGCCGCGUGAGUGAAGAAGGCCUUCGGGUUGUAAAGCUCUUUCAGAUGCGAAGAUGAUGACGGUAACACAGAAGAAGCCCCGGCUAAUUUCGUGCCAGCAGCCCGCGGUAAUACGAAAGGCGCAAGCGUUGUUCGGAUUUACUGGGCGUAAAGGGCACGCGGGCGGUCUUGCCAGUCAGGGGUGAAAGCCCGGGGCUCAACCCCGGAACUGCCUCUGAUACUGCAGGACUAGAGACUAGGAGAGGGUGGUGGAAUUCCCAGUGUAGAGGUGAAAUUCGUAGAUAUUGGGAGGAACACCAGAGGCGAAGAGCGGCCAGCUGGACUAGAUCUGACGCUCAGGUGCGAAAGCGUGGGGAGGCAACAGGAUUAGAUACCCUGGUAGUCCACGCCCUUAACGAUGAAGUGCUAGUUGUC